UCCGGCGUAGCUCAGUUGGCAGAGCGGGUGGCUGUUAACCACUUAGUCGUAGGUUCGAGUCCUACCGCCGGAGCCA
rnacentral:tRNA from 1 species